AUAUGAAUCAACUGGAAAACUUGUCAAAAUGUGGAUUUUGAGACCAUAAGUCAGAGGAGGGGCUGGAGAUUCUGCAUUUCUAACAGAAUCCUGGGUGAUGCUCCU
rnacentral:miRNA from 1 species